GGUUCAGUGAUCUGUAUCAGCCCAGUGAGCAGGGAUCAGGAUGAUUUCACACAGCUGUUUGCUGACUGUAUUCAUCAUCUGGAUUCAUGGAUCCUAUGGACAGAUUGUGAUGACUCAGACUCCAGAGUCAGUUACUGUGUCACCAGGAGAAACUGUCACCAUGACAUGUACAUCUAGUAGUAGUUUAACUAGUCGCGGCAACAGCUACCUUCACUGGUACCAACAGAAACCAGGACAACCUCCAAAGCUUCUUAUCUAUGAUGCAAUCAGUAGACCUACUUGGAUCCCAGCCCGGUUCAGUGGCAGUCGGUCUGGAAAGAGUUUCACUUUAACAAUCCGUGAAGUGUUAGCAGAAGAUGCAGCAGAUUAUUACUGUCAGCAGGGUCGCAGCGACCCUCUCACAGUGAUACAGAGCCGUACAAAACCUUCCUCUUUCACUAAGCUUAGUCUAAUAUCAGGCACUAGCCUCUGUUCUGUUCUGUAA